CAGCUCCGCCCAGACUCCUACGGGAGCCGGGCUCCACCGCCGACCGCAAGUGCAACUCCGAAGCCGGGCUCCACCGCCGACCGCAAGUGCAACUCCGCCCGGACUCCUACGGGAGCCGGGCUCCACCGCCGACAGCAAGUGCAGCUCCGCCCGGACUCCUACGGGAGCCGGGCUCCACCGCCGACAGCAAGUGCAGCUCC
rnacentral:lncRNA from 1 species